rnacentral:pre_miRNA from 1 species
UGAAAUGUUUUGACCAGAACUUCAGAUAAUUAUUUCAGAUUUACACCUCAUUUGUUUUAUGUAAGCAUCAUUUCACUUAUACUAAAGAUAAGAGAAUUAACCUGAAGGGUUUUUUUCCCCAAUCAUUUG